AUUGAACGCUGGCGGCAGGCCUAACACAUGCAAGUCGAGCGGAUGAGAGGAGCUUGCUUCUCGAUUCAGCGGCGGACGGGUGAGUAAUGCCUAGGAAUCUGCCUGGUAGUGGGGGACAACGUUUCGAAAGGAACGCUAAUACCGCAUACGUCCUACGGGAGUAAGCAGGGGACCUUCGGGCCUUGCGCUAUCAGAUGAGCCUAGGUCGGAUUAGCUAGUUGGUGAGGUAAUGGCUCACCAAGGCGACGAUCCGUAACUGGUCUGAGAGGAUGAUCAGUCACACUGGAACUGAGACACGGUCCAGACUCCUACGGGAGGCAGCAGUGGGGAAUAUUGGACAAUGGGCGAAAGCCUGAUCCAGCCAUGCCGCGUGUGUGAAGAAGGUCUUCGGAUUGUAAAGCGCUUUAAGUUGGGAGGAAGGGUUGUAGAUUAAUACUCUGCAAUUUUGACGUUACCGACAGAAUAAGCACCGGCUAACUCUGUGCCAGCCGCCGCCGUAAAAC
rnacentral:rRNA from 1 species